rnacentral:rRNA from 1 species
CAAUGGGGGAACCCUGNAUGCAGCGACGCCGCGUGGAGGAAGAAGGUCUUCNGNCNANUAAACUCCUGNAGNUGAGGAAGAUAAUGACGGUACUCAACNUCCAAGUGACGGCUAACUACGUGCCAGCAGCCGCGGUAAAACGUAGGUCACAAGCGUUGUCCGGAAUUACUGGGUGUAAAGGGAGCGCAGGCGGGAAGACAAGUUGGAAGUGAAAUCUAUGGGCUCAACCCAUAAACUGCUUUCAAAACUGUUUUUCUUGAGUAGUGCAGAGGUAGGCGGAAUUCCCGGUGUAGCGGUGGAAUGCGUAGAUAUCGGGAGGAACACCAGUGGCGAAGGCGGCCUACUGGGCACCAACUGACGCUGAGGCUCGAAAGUGUGGGUAGCAAACAGGAUUAGAUACCCUGGUAGUCCAAGGGCGAAUUC